GGAUACUCGGGCACGCCGUGGUCAGGCCAGGCCAUGAACUGGAACUGCCUCACCUCUCUCUUCUCGCUGGAGCCGUUCUGUAGGAGAACCGAGCUAUUCUGGGCUCAGACCUCUCAUGUACAAUUACUGUCCCAGCCAACCUCUUGUCUUGUUUAUGUUUUGUUGAAAGGGUUUCAACAAAUUAUGUUCUGGACUGACUUGAAUGGAGAGUUCCCACACUACAGUAAAAUUCAACCACUUUUCAAGAAUUUUCAAGAGGGCAAAGGUUCGGACGCUGUAAGUUGCCAGCUCCACAGUGUCCAGCAUCGUGACCUGGAUCAUCCCGUACGUCUCUGUUCCUCGUG